CGAGGCACCAGCCCGCUCGCCGCCUGCCCCGGCCGCCUGCUCGCCCCGGCCACCCGCUCGCCGCUCGCCGUCGCCGCCCGCUCGCCGCCCGCCCCGGCCGCCCGCCCGCACGUGAAUGGCAGGCGCGGCGCCCUCCGCCUCCGCGCGCCAGAUAUCCCACACGCACUUCAUCGAGCAGCUCCGCCGCGCCGCCCGCGCCCGCGACGGCGAGGCGCUCCACGCCUGGGCGCUCAAGUCCGGCGCCGCGUCCCACGCGCCCGUCUCCAACUCCCUCAUCACCUUCUACGCCUCCCUCCCGCGGCCGCUCCUCGCCGCGGCCCUGGCCGUCUUCGCGGGCAUCCCCGCCGCCGCCCGCGACGUCGCCUCCUGGAACUCCCUGCUCAACCCGCUCUCGCACCACCACCCGCGCGCCGCGCUCUCCCACUUCCAAUCCAUGCUCUUCUCCUCCUCGCCCGCCAUCCUCCCGUCCCCGCAUUCCUUCGCCGCCGUCUUCACGGCCGCCGCCCGCGCGCGCUCCGCGUCCGCCGGGGCAGCCGCCCACGCCCUCGCUUGCAAGGUCCCCUCGGCUGGCUCCAACGUGUUCGUGUCCACCUCUCUGCUCAACAUGUACUGUAAGCUGGGCCUCGUCCCCGAUGCCCGGAGAGUGUUCGACGAAAUGCCGGUGCGGAACGAGUUCUCUUGGGCCGCUAUGGUGGCAGGCUAUGCUUCCACAAAGUGCUCCGAGGAGGCCUUUGAGAUCUUCCAGCUGAUGCUUGCGGAGUGCCCGUCGCAGAAAAACGAGUUUGUGGCCACGGCUGUUCUUAGUGCGGUCAGUGUGCCGUCGGGCUUGCCGAUGGGGGUGCAGCUACAUGGGUUGGUUGUGAAGGAUGGGUUGGUGGUGUUUGUGUCGGUUGAGAACUCGCUCGUCACAAUGUAUGCAAAGGCUGGGUGUAUGGAUGCAGCAUUACAUGUGUUUGCGUCGUCUAAGGAGAGGAACUCCAUCACUUGGUCCGCGAUGAUCACUGGCUACGCGCAGAAUGGGAAUGCAGAAAGCGCAUUUAGAAUGUUCUUGCAGAUGCUUUCUGCGGGGUUUUCACCAACUGAGUUCACUUUGGUUGGGGUGCUCAAUGCGUGUAGUGAUGUGGGAGCAUUGAUGGAAGGAAGGCAGACACAUGGUUUGAUGGUGAAGCUUGGGUUUGAGGCGCAGGUGUAUGUGAAGAGCGCACUGGUGGACAUGUAUGCCAAAUGCGGCUGUAUUACUGAUGCAAAGGAAGGUUUUGAUCAAUUUCAUGAGCUUGACAUUGUCCUUUGGACGGCCAUGGUUGCCGGGCAUGUGCAGAAUGGGGAGCAUGAGGAAGCCUUGAGAUUGUAUGCCAGGAUGGACAAGGAGGGCAUCAUUCCGACUAACUUGACUAUAACCAGUGUUCUUAGAGCAUGUGCUGGCCUUGCAGCAUUGGAGCCAGGGAAGCAAUUGCACACGCAAAUCCUCAAGUUCGGAUUUGGUUUGGGGUCUUCUGUCGGAAGUGCCUUGUCUACAAUGUAUUCAAAGUGUGGAAACCUUGACGAUGGCAUGGUUAUAUUCAGAAGGAUGCCUCAUAAGGAUGUUAUUGCAUGGAACUCGAUCAUUUCUGGAUUCUCUCAAAAUGGACGUGGAAAUGAAGCACUUGACCUGUUUGAGGAAAUGAAGCUAGAGGGCACUGCUCCAGAUCAUAUAACAUUCAUUAAUGUGUUAUGUGCUUGUAGUCACAUGGGCCUAGUUGACAGAGGAUGGAUUUACUUUAGGUCAAUGACCAAAGACUAUGGUUUAACUCCUCGGCUGGAUCAUUAUGCUUGCAUGGUUGAUAUUCUUAGCCGAGCAGGGAUGCUAAAUGAAGCAAAAGAUUUCAUAGAGUCCAUUAGUAUUGACCAUGGAACAUGUUUGUGGCGUAUAUUAUUGGGAGCAUGUCGCAGUAUACGGGAUUUUGAUGUCGGAGCAUAUGCUGGUGAGCAGCUGAUGGAGUUAGGUACUGGGGACUCCUCUGCAUAUAUAUUGUUGUCAAACAUCUAUGCUGCCCAGAGAAAAUGGACUGAUGUUGAGCGGGUGAGGCAUUUGAUGAGACAUCGGGGAGUUAGCAAAGAUCCAGGAUGCAGCUGGGUUGAGCUUAACAGCAGAAUUCAUGUGUUUGUUGUUGGGGAGCAGCAACAUCCUGAGGCGGAAAAUAUAAAUACAGAGUUGAGAAGGCUCGCUAAACACAUGAAGGACGAAGGGUACCGUCCAACAUCUAAAUUUUCAUGGGAUGAAGAACUGGAUACAUUGAGAGGAUCUCAUGAAGAAGAUCAAUUCGAGUUGAUAUCGGCAGUUUCUAGCUGACUUCUCAAAUGACAAGAACAGCUGAUGUGACCGUAAAGCGACACCUGUAACUAAAGAUGGACAAAAAUUCAGUAAUGUUCAUACAGAAAAUCAUGGAUGCACACCAUCUAUUCAGUUUGUAACAGCAAAGGUAAUGUGUUACAACUAAGAGUGCAACCGACAUGAAUGGUAAAUAUCGAACUUUAUUGCACACGUCCACCUACCCAUGUCUUUUUAAUGUUGUCAAUUCUUGCAGUCUCAGUUAUCUUUUUAACAUGUCAUUUUGUUCAGCCUAAUGAGCUCAUAAGUGUGACAACCUUACCCUAUGAUAAUCAUAAUCCCCCUCAUGCACUACAAACAACACAAACUCAGGAAACAUUUCAGGACAAGUGGAAUAAUAAUGCCACUAAGAAAAAUAUAUAUCAAAGUACUAUGCAUCACAUAUAUCAAGGGCAAGGAGAGGAGGACGGCAGCCGAGGAGAGGAGGACGGCAGCCGAGGAGAGGAGGGCGGCGACCGAGGAGAAGAAGACGGAGGUUGAGGAAAGGAAUGUGGUCAUGGAAGAGAGAAUCAAAAGCAUUGAACAAGAGCAAAAGUUCAUGUUCAUGGACACAAGUGGUCUUGGUGACAAGGCGAAAGCAUACGUGGAGCUUUGUCGCGAUCAAGUGUUGGCGGUGAGGUCUAUUGGAGGCUUCAUGAUGGGAGGAUUCAUGGGAGGCAUGAGAGGAGCCAUGGGCGCCAUGGGAGGAGGCAUGGGUGGUGCAAUGGAUGGGAAUGAAAAACAAUGGUGCCAAACUGCCAAUGAUGUCAAUGGUGGCAUUGGAGAAGAAGCAAUCAAUGGAGAGGAAGCAAGCCAUGAAGAAGAUGCAAGCACAACUAAUGGCAAUGAAGGCAAUGCCAUUUGAGAGGCUAUGCAUUCAUUUUGUAUGCACUUUUGUUUUUGUUUGCGAUGCACAAUGAUUGUGGUUUGAAUUUGAAUUUGAUAUACGGAUGAUUGAACUUGAAUUUGAUAUGUUGAUGAUCAUAUGUGUUGUGAUCUUGCAAAGUUUUAAUCAUGCCGUCA